CCCGGAAUAAGAGGAUGAGUAAGGAUAGUUGGAUGAACUAAUGUUAAAUUGUCGAACGUUAUUCAAUCCUUAAUUAUAUGAGAUUAAUGUUAUAUGAUGUUGUCGUUGACUAAUGGCUAAGUUGUAUGUGAUGCCCACAGGUGAUACACGGACUUCUUCUGCUACUUAGGAAGUGAAAGUAUGUAUGCAUGUAAGAUGGUACGUGUGCAUGAUUUAAAUACGUAGAGUUUUAACGUUACUAAUUAUGCGUUUGAGGUUGGUAUGUAAUGCAGGAACGAGUACAUCGGAUUCUUACGAAAUUUAAGCCCAACCCGGAAUAAGAGGAUGAGUGAUACACGGACUUCUUCUGCUACUUAGGAAGUGAAGUGGACGUAGAUCGAGUCAAGAGCAAGGAUUGCACGGAUAGAUCGAUCAUAUAGUUGAAAUGUAUAACGUCUAGAAAU
rnacentral:lncRNA from 1 species